rfam:Rattus norvegicus chromosome 1, whole genome shotgun sequence.
GGGGAUUUAGCUCAGAGGUAGAGCGCUUGCCUAGCAAGCGCAAGGCCCUGGGUUCGAUCCCCAGCUCCG